GCAUUUGUACGGUGAACUGCGAAUGGCUCAUUAAAUCAGUUAUCGUUUAUCCUGAUAGUACCUUACUACAUGGAUACCUGUGGUAAUUCUAGAGCUAAUACAUGCUAAAAACCUCGACUUCGGAAGGGGUGUAUUUAUUAGAUAAAAAACCAAUGCCCUUCGGGGCUCUCUGGUGAUUCAUAAUAACUUCUCGAAUCGCAUGGCCUUGCGCCGGCGAUGGUUCAUUCAAAUUUCUGCCCUAUCAACUUUCGAUGGUAGGAUAGUGGCCUACCAUGGUGGCAACGGGUAACGGGGAAUUAGGGUUCGAUUCCGGAGAGGGAGCCUGAGAAACGGCUACCACAUCCAAGGAAGGCAGCAGGCGCGCAAAUUACCCAAUCCCGAUACGGGGAGGUAGUGACAAUAAAUACUGAUACAGGGCUCUUUCGGGUCUUGUAAUUGGAAUGAGUACAAUUUAAACCCCUUAACGAGGAACAAUUGGAGGGCAAGUCUGGUGCCAGCAGCCGCGGUAAUUCCAGCUCCAAUAGCGUAUAUUAAAGUUGUUGCAGUUAAAAAGCUCGUAGUUGAACCUUGGGCCUGGCUGGCCGGUCCGCCUCACGGCGUGCACUGGUCCGGCUGGGCCUUUCCUUCUGGGGAACGUCAUGGCCUUCACUGGCUGUGGCGGGAACCAGGACUUUUACUGUGAAAAAAUUAGAGUGUUCAAAGCAGGCCUUUGCUCGGAUACAUUAGCAUGGAAUAAUAAAAUAGGACGUGUGGUUCUAUUUUGUUGGUUUCUAGGACCGCCGUAAUGAUUAAUAGGGAUAGUCGGGGGCGUCAGUAUUCGGCUGUCAGAGGUGAAAUUCUUGGAUUUGCUGAAGACUAACUACUGCGAAAGCAUUCGCCAAGGAUGUUUUCAUUAAUCAGUGAACGAAAGUUAGGGGAUCGAAGACGAUCAGAUACCGUCGUAGUCUUAACCAUAAACUAUGCCGACUAGGGAUCGGACGGGGUUUCUUUUAUGACCCGUUCGGCACCUUACGAGAAAUCAAAG
rnacentral:rRNA from 1 species